ensembl:antisense Gm28731 predicted gene 28731
GUUCUGCUCUGGACUGACGCCGGUUAGGAACACGGAACAAACGAGGCUAGGGGAAGCCAGGAACCGGGAGGUUCCGCCCCAGGCUUUCGGGCCACAGACGGAAAAAGGAAGGGGGCGCGAGCCUGGCACCAGCGUCCGAGGCAGGGCGGGGCCCGGCAGCGCUCGGACCCGGAACGCGAACGCGCCAGUCCACGGCCGCCACCCCCGCCUGGCCUGGCCGAUCCUCCCGCAGCCCUCCGGCUGUGCCGUAGCCCGGCCCGCUACCCAAGCCGUGCUCACCCCGGAGGAAGCCGCGGCCCCCUCGUCCUCUUUGCCCCUCCAGGCCGGCGACGUGGGGCUGACGGCCAGGUCGCAGAAAGCGGCGCCGGGCAGAGCCCGCUGCCCUUGGUCGGCUGUGGAGACGGGGCCCAGCUUUUCCCGGACGAUCUUAGUUGCAGUCCGGGCGGCAGCAGCUGACCCGGAUUCAGUGCGUACGCCCCGGCGGAAGUGACCACCUCCGGACCGGCGCCGGGCGCGGCCGAGGGAGGAAGCGGGGGCGGGGCGUUUUCCUAAAAUCCUCGGCGGGCUUCCUCUCUGCGCAUGCGCAGCCGUGAGCCCUUCUGUCCCGGGCCAGCUAAGGCUUUGGCUUGCUGCUGGCGAGGGAGGAGGUGGGCGCUGCUUUCUAAGGCUCACGCACUUAACGUUACUGUAGGGACCUAACCUCGCUGUCUUGAAAGAGCUAUUCGUUUCUCUCUGUUUUCCUUUACUUGACAUUAUAUUAACUAUAUUACAGAGUGAAUGAAAAGGGAGUGAAAAAUAGUCGAUGUCUUAUGUACGAUAGCCAGGUCCUAGAAGAAUCUACUUUGAUAGAAUUUUCCGACGUGAAUAGUUUUUCUCUCCAGUAAUGCUUUUGAGAGAGUAAUAAGUACCCCCCCUUCUCCUCCCCAGACUCUCCUCCUGUGUUCCGAGUUGGCCUUGAAUUCCUUCCAGUGUAUCUGAAAUAACCUUGAAAACUAAUUUUCCUGCCCCAGUCUCCAGAGAGCUGAGAUUAUCUACAUGAUUGUUACCACAUUGUGGCAGAGACAGAGACAACUUAGGGCUUCCUGACUGCUGCUAGGUAGGCACUCUAUUAUCUGAACUUUCCGUUCCCACCAUGUGGUUGCUGGGAUUUGAACUCCGGACCUUCCGAAGGUCCCCAGAUCAUAGGAAAUUUCAUUACGAUUCAUGACUGUAGCAAUAUUACUGUUCUGAAGUUGCAACGGAGUAAUUUUGUGGUUGGGGGUCUCCACAACAUGAGGAACUGUACUAAAGGGUCCCAGCUUUAGGAAAGUUUAGAACUAUUGCUUUAAAACGUGCUUUUCCCAGUUAUUUGUGGGUCCUAUCUUGAUGACGUAGAAAAAAUGAAAAUAAAAGUGAAGUCAGUAAAUGUAAAAUAUUUUAUUAUCACAGUCAACAGUCCUAAAAUUGGCUGUCGUAAAAAAAAAAAAAUUCCUCAAAAAGGGGGAGGAGGGAAUAAGGUUUGUGGAGAGGAAACUGGGAAGGGGGAUAACAUUUGAAAUGUCAAUAAAUAAAAUAACCAAUAAAAAAUGAAAAAAAAUUC